UUGGAAUCGGUUUCAAUAUUAUCUGGCAUAAUUUCAAGUAGAACACCGUGUUAAUGUUCCCUAGCUUUCAUACUUCAAGAGUAUUAGCUCUUAUUUUAUGCAAAGAUAUGUUGUCCUCAGCAGACACUGACCGUCAUUGAAUUAUAGAGUCUAAAAAGCAUAGAGUUGUGGUGAAAUGUUUUUCCAUUCUUUGGCUAAAAGACAAGUCGCAUCAAGUAAAUUUAAUCACUCUGCAACGCCCAGAAAAAUACUCAUUAGCUUUGAAUUUACUUAAUUAGUAUUUACCAUGGACUGAUCAUAUUAAGAGUUUUUGGACAUAUUAUCUGCAGUGAAAUGUGAUUACAAAUUCAGAAAUCGCACAUAACUCUGACUUCAUCAUUGCCAAAUAAAUAGUUUGAGAAUAAUUGUUUCAACCACAUAACUUCAAUCAAUCUCUACUUUUGACUAUAUCUGAAACUCAUUUGUGUUAAUUAAACAAAUCUGUAACGGAUUUCUUGCCUAACUCAGUAAAAGACGCCGAACGCUCCAGAUUUUAUGUAUGUGAAUGGAAAAUCUUUUAUUUUAACGCAAAAUAAAUGGCGCGCAGGAAAGCGCACGGUGCUAACUCAUCCAUCAAACUCCGACACAGCUUUCUGAAUGGUACUUCCAAAGCGAACACUAGCAAAAUCAUGUGGAAAAAAAUCUGUUUGCAAGAUCAUAAAAAUGUGUUUUACUGGCAAUUGUUUUUAUAUCCCAAUGCGAUGUUGAACAACUUCAUCAGUAAUGCUACGCGACUACCCAUUACCUGCAUAUUAAGAUGUAAGACAGCAAUCAAUAUAACAAGCAUGUAUGGAAGACGAGCAGGCCAAAAACGGGAAAGACACUUACACUACCAUAAGUUGUUUUUGAAUACGUCGAAAAUAUAAUACACACAUCAAGCAAAUAAAUUAGUAGGCAACUCCCUUCUUGUAAAAUGCAACAGGCAAUCCGUCAUGCAGGUGUGAAUGAUUCAUUAAUUCUUCGCCUUCAUUACUUUCGCUGUUCUGUUCUUGACAGUAUAAGAUUGAAGGAGCGCGCGGAAGUACAAAUAACCUCAAAGCGGAGAUUGCAUACCUUGAAUUCUAUAUCCCGAAGUACAAAACUAAUUUCGAGGAUCGUCUUACUUAAAACACUACCCUUGGAUUGCAUACACUGUGAAUAAACAUGAUUAGACGAGCUGAUGUAGUAGUUCUUUUUGACUUCUUGUUUAAAUGAGCUUAGGUCGGUUUUUAUUUGCUGUUAUAAAACUGAAUGUAAUAAA